rnacentral:rRNA from 1 species
CCAGCAGCCGCGGUAAUACGGGGGAUGCAAGCGUUAUCCGGAAUCAUUGGGCGUAAAGCGCCUGUAGGUUGUUUAAUAAGUCUGUUGUUAAAGACUAGGGCUCAACCCUAGAAAAGCAAUGGAAACUACUAGACUAGAGUAUGGCAGGGGUAGAGGGAAUUUCUAGUGUAGCGGUGAAAUGCGUAGAUAUUAGAAAGAACACCAGUGGCGAAAGCGCUCUACUGGACCAUUACUGACACUCAGAGGCGAAAGCUAGGGUAGCAAAAGGGAUUAGAUACCCCUGUAGUCCUAGCCGUAAACGAUGGAUACUAGAUGUUGUGCACAAUGUACAGUAUCGUAGCUAACGCGUUAAGUAUCCCGCCUGGGGAGUACGCUCGCAAGGGUGAAACUCAAAGGAAUUGACGGGGGCCCGCACAAGCGGUGGAGCAUGUGGUUUAAUUCGAUGCAACGCGAAGAACCUUACCAGGACUUGACAUACUACAAAUUUUCUUGAGAAAGAAAAGUGCCUUCGGGAAUGUAGAUACAGGUGGUGCAUGGCUGUCGUCAGCUCGUGUCGUGAGAUGUUGGGUUAAGUCCCGCAACGAGCGCAACCCUUAUUUUUGGUUACUAAUUCGUUAGGCUCUCUAGAAAGACUGCCGGUGACAAACCGGAGGAAGGCGAGGAUGACGUCAAGUCAGCAUGCCCCUUAUGUCCUGGGCUACACACGUGCUACAAUGGUUAAGACAAAGAGUCGCGAGCUUGCGAAAGUCAGCUAAUCUCAUAAACUUAGCCUAAGUUCAGA